UGCCCACUGAUUAAAAAUUAAAGGGCUGCAGUAUUUUGACUGUACAAAGGUAGCAUAAUCAUUAGUCAUUUAAUUGGUGACUUGUAUGAAGGAUUGGAUGAAAUAUUAACUGUCUUAAAUAUAAAUUUUAUAAUUUAAUUUUUUAGUUAAAAAGCUAAAAUAUUAUAAAAAGACGAGAAGACCCUAUAGAGUUUAAUUAAAUAAUUAAAUUAAUAUGUUUUAUAUAAAUUUAGAUUUAAAUUUAGUUUUUAAUUUUAUUGGGGUGAUAUAAAAAUUUAGUAAACUUUUUAUUUAAAAGAACAUAGAUAAGUGAGUAAAUGAUCCAAUAAUAUUGAUUAUAAGAAAAAAUUACCUUAGGGAUAACAGCGUAAUUUUAUUUUUUAGUUCAUAUAAGAAAUAAAGUUUGCGACCUCGAUGUUGGAUUAAGAUAAAAUUUAAAUGUAGAAGUUUAAAGUUUUGA
rnacentral:rRNA from 1 species